rnacentral:rRNA from 1 species
AAACUAACAAGGAUUCCCCUAGUAACGGCGAGUGAAGCGGGAAGAGCUCAAAUUUGAAAUCUGGCGGUCUACGGCCGUCCGAGUUGUAAUCUAGAGAGGUGUUUUCCGUGCCGGACCGUGUACAAGUCCCUUGGAACAGGGCGUCAUAGAGGGUGAGAAUCCCGUCCAUGACACGGACUACCGGUGCUCUGUGAUACACCUUCGAAGAGUCGAGUUGUUUGGGAAUGCAGCUCAAAAUGGGUGGUAAAUUCCAUCUAAAGCUAAAUACAGGCGAGAGACCGAUAGCGAACAAGUACCGUGAGGGAAAGAUGAAAAGAACUUUGGAAAGAGAGUUAAACAGUACGUGAAAUUGUUGAAAGGGAAACGCUUGAAGUCAGUCGCGUCUGUCAGGACUCAGCCUUGCUUCUGCAUGGUGCAUUUCCUGGUGGAUGGGCCAGCAUCGAUUUUGGUCGCCGGAAAAGGGCGGGAGGAAUGUGGCAGCUUGCUGUGUUAUAGCCUCCUGUCGUACACGGUGGUUGGGAUCGAGGACUGCAGCACGCCUUUGGUCGGGGUUCGCCCACGCCACGUGCUUAGGAUGCUGGCGUAAUGGCUUUAAGCGACCCGUCUUGAAACACGGACCAAGGAGUCUAACAUGCCUGCGAGUGUUUGGGCGUUAAACCCAGGCGCGUAAUGAAAGUGAAAAGUUGGGACUCUUUAGUGAGGCACCGACGCCCGAUCCUGACGUUCUCUGACGGAUUUGAGGUAGAGCAUGUAUGUUGGGACCCGAAAGAUGGUGAACUAUGCCUGAAUAGGGUGAAGCCAGAGGAAACUCUGGUGGAGGCUCGUAGCGAUUCUGACGUGCAAAUCGAUCGUCAAAUUUGGGUAUAGGGGCGAAAGACUAAUCGAACCAUCUAGUAGCUGGUUCCUGCCGAU